UGGGGAAUUUUGGACAAUGGGCGAAAGCCUGAUCCAGCAAUGCCGCGUGUGUGAAGAAGGCCUUCGGGUUGUAAAGCACUUUUGUCCGGAAAGAAAUGGCUCUGGUUAAUACCUGGGGUCGAUGACGGUACCGGAAGAAUAAGGACCGGCUAACUACGUGCCAGCAGCCGCGGUAAUACGUAGGGUCCAAGCGUUAAUCGGAAUUACUGGGCGUAAAGCGUGCGCAGGCGGUUGUGCAAGACCGAUGUGAAAUCCCCGAGCUUAACUUGGGAAUUGCAUUGGUGACUGCACGGCUAGAGUGUGUCAGAGGGGGGUAGAAUUCCACGUGUAGCAGUGAAAUGCGUAGAGAUGUGGAGGAAUACCGAUGGCGAAGGCAGCCCCUGGGAUAACACUGACGCUCAUGCACGAAAGCGUGGGGAGCAAACAGGAUUAGAUACCCUGGUAGUCCACGCCCUAAACGAUGUCAACUAGUUGUUGGGGAUUCAUUUCCUUAGUAACGUAGCUAACGCGUGAAGUUGACCGCCUGGGGAGUACGGUCGCAAGA
rnacentral:rRNA from 1 species